CAGAAAGCCGGGCGGGACGGCAGACGAGGCUGCUCGCUGGGAACAACUAUUUAGCCGUCCUGACGCAAGUCGUCCACCUUUUCCGAACUUUAAUCUCCCACCUCUUAAGUCUUAGGAGCAUGAAUCGGCACGCCCAGGCUUGCUAAGAUGACCCAAAUGCAAAUGAGAGCCUGACCAAAACAUUUUUAAACUCUGUAUACGGAGUUAUUUUGAAAUCAGGACCAGAGCUAACUCUGCAGGAAGGAGGAAAAAACUUGAAAAAGAGCAUGUCCACAAAACAUCUCGUGACCUACAGAAGAGAAAACAGACCAUCAAGCUAGAAGGAGAAAAGACUGAUUGAGGGGAAGAUCAGAGUGGAUGAGAGAGCUGUGCAAAAAUAAAAUUCCUACUUUCUUCCACUAUCCCCGGUGUCAGAGAUUGGCUUGCUGUGCAACGGGUGAGUGAACUCACUUCAGGUUCAAUGUCAGAUCUAUGUUCAGAUAAAACAAAACAUUGUCUUCUCUUCUGUAACUCUUACUUUUUCCACCUCCAAUAUCUUCCAUUUAUUUUUCAGAAGUAAUCCCAGGUGACUUGAGAAUGAAAGCAGAAGUCUCUUUUAUCCUACAGCACAAAGGAUCUCUCUAACCCUCUUCC
rnacentral:lncRNA from 1 species